CUUUGAUCCUGGCUCAGGAUGAACGCUAGCUACAGGCUUAACGCAUGCAAGUCGAGGGGCAGCGGGAUUGAAGCUUGCUCCAAUUGCCGGCGACCGGCGCACGGGUGAGUAACGCGUAUCCAACCUUCCGUACACUCAGGGAUAGCCUUUCGAAAGAAAGAUUAAUACCUGAUGGUAUGAUGAGAUUGCAUGAUAGCAUCAUUAAAGAUUUAUCGGUGUACGAUGGGGAUGCGUUCCAUUAGGUAGUAGGCGGGGUAACGGCCCACCUAGCCAACGAUGGAUAGGGGUUCUGAGAGGAAGGUCCCCCACAUUGGAACUGAGACACGGUCCAAACUCCUACGGGAGGCAGCAGUGAGGAAUAUUGGUCAAUGGACGAGAGUCUGAACCAGCCAAGUAGCGUGAAGGAUGAAGGUCCUACGGAUUGUAAACUUCUUUUAUAAGGGAAUAAACCCUCCCACGUGUGGGAGCUUGUAUGUACCUUAUGAAUAAGCAUCGGCUAACUCCGUGCCAGCAGCCGCGGUAAUACGGAGGAUGCGAGCGUUAUCCGGAUUUAUUGGGUUUAAAGGGAGCGCAGACGGGUCGUUAAGUCAGCUGUGAAAGUUUGGGGCUCAACCUUAAAAUUGCAGUUGAUACUGGCGUCCUUGAGUGCGGUUGAGGUGUGCGGAAUUCGUGGUGUAGCGGUGAAAUGCUUAGAUAUCACGAAGAACUCCGAUUGCGAAGGCAGCACACUAAUCCGUAACUGACGUUCAUGCUCGAAAGUGUGGGUAUCAAACAGGAUUAGAUACCCUGGUAGUCCACACGGUAAACGAUGGAUACUCGCUGUUGGCGAUAUACUGUCGGCGGCUUAGCGAAAGCGUUAAGUAUCCCACCUGGGGAGUACGCCGGCAACGGUGCAACUCAAAGGAAUUGA
rnacentral:rRNA from 1 species